rnacentral:rRNA from 1 species
UUAAAUUGAAGAGUUUGAUCAUGGCUCAGAUUGAACGCUGGCGGCAGGCCUAACACAUGCAAGUCGAACGGUAACAGGAAUCAGCUUGCUGAUUCGCUGACGAGUGGCGGACGGGUGAGUAAUGUCUGGGAAACUGCCUGAUGGAGGGGGAUAACUACUGGAAACGGUAGCUAAUACCGCAUAACGUCGCAAGACCAAAGAGGGGGACCUUCGGGCCUCUUGCCAUC